CGGUCUGUAGCUCAGCUGGUUAGAGCACUCGGCUGAUAACCGAGAGGUCGAUGGUUCGAGUCCAUCCAGACCGA
rnacentral:tRNA from 1 species